rnacentral:rRNA from 1 species
GACGAACGCUGGCGGCAUGCCUAAUACAUGCAAGUCGAACGCACAGUUUAUACCGUGGCUUGCUACACCAUGGACUGUGAGUUGCGAAGGGGUUAGUAACGCGUUGAUAACCUGCCUGGUAGCGGGAGAUAACUAUUGGAAACGAUAGCUAAUACCGCAUAAUAUUGAUUAUUGCAGGAUAAUUUAUUGAAGGAUGCUAUUGAAUCGCUACCAGAUGGACCUGAGUUGUAUUAGCUAGUAGGGGAGGUAACGGCUAACCUAAGCGACGAUACAUAGCCGACCAGAGAGGGUGAGAGGCCACACUGGGACUGAGACACGGCCCAGAACACUACGGGAGGCAGCAGUAGGGGAUUCUCGGGAAAGGACGAAAGUCUGAACGAGCGACGCCGGGUGAGUGAAGAAGGCUGUCGGAUCGUAAAGCUCAGUUGUAAGAGAAGAACGGGUGUGAGAGUGGAAAGUGCACACUGUGACGGUACCGUAACAGAAAGGGACGGCUAACUACGUG